ensembl:antisense Gm16220 predicted gene 16220
CUCCUACCUGCCUUCCCAAAGGCAGUCGUGGAACCCUUGGUGGAAAGGUCCACUUCUUACCAUGAGGCAUCACUCCUAAGACCAGCACUGGGUAAGCCAGGGCACUACAACCGGUUCCUCGGCCACAGAACUUCUGGCAUUCUGAAGGCACGACACAGGCCACCUGAUCUGCAGAGAGAAAAGCAGCCUCUUCAAGAUUGUCUCUUGAGUUCCACUGGGAAUGCCCCGUCUGGGGCUGUGAGAAACACUGUAUCAAAGAGAUCCCGGUUCAGCACCUGAGACACAGGCACCAGGCCUGCAAUGGGACAGAGCAACCGGAACUCCUAAAGACUGUCUUCCAAAGUUGUGCUGGGCCUUUUGUGGGGAGGAACAUGACUGUGUCAUGGGAAAAUGCGUACAUCUGUU